GUGUGCGUGGCAUAGUGGUUUGAGUGCUGGAUUGGGACUCUGGAGAGCUGGAUUCAAUUCCCAACUUGGCCA